rnacentral:rRNA from 1 species
ACGGUCCUAAGGUAGCGAAAUUCCUUGUCGGGUAAGUUCCGACCUGCACGAAUGGCAUAACGAUGGCCACACUGUCUCCUCCCGAGACUCAGUGAAGUUGAAAUGUUUGUGAUGAUGCAAUCUACCCGCGGCUAGACGGGAAGACCCCAUGAACCUUUACUGCAGCUUUGCAUUGAACUGUGAACCGAUUUGUGUAGGAUAGGUGGGAGGCAGAGAAGAGGCCACGCCAGUGGUCUUGGAGCCGACCUUGAAAUACCACCCUGAUUUGUUUGCGGUUCUAACCACGGACAGUGAUCCUGUCUUGGGACCGUGCAUGGUAGGCAGUUUGACUGGGGCGGUCUCCUCCUAAAGGGUAACGGAGGAGUACGAAGGUACGCUAGGUACGGUCGGAAAUCGUGCUGAUAGUGCAAUGGCAAAAGCGUGCUUGACUGCGAGAGCAACAACUCGAGCAGAUGCGAAAGCAGGUCAUAGUGAUCCGGUGGCUCUGAAUGGAAGGGCCAUCGCUCAACGGAUAAAAGGUACUCUGGGGAUAACAGGCUGAUACCGCCCAAGAGUUCAUAUCGACGGCGGUGUUUGGCACCUCGAUGUCGGCUCAUCUCAUCCUGGGGCUGUAGUCGGUCCCAAGGGUAUGGCUGUUCGCCAUUUAAAGAGGUACGUGAGCUGGGUUUAAAACGUCGUGAGACAGUUUGGUCCCUAUCUGCCGUGGGCGUUGGAAGAUUGACGGGGGCUGCUCCUAGUACGAGAGGACCGGAGUGGACGCACCUCUGGUGUACCGGUUGUCACGCCAGUGGCAUUGCCGGGUAGCUAAGUGCGGAAGAGAUAACCGCUGAAAGCAUCUAAGCGGGAAACUUGCCUGAAGAUGAGUCUUCCCGGAGGUUGAACCUCCCUCAAGAGUCGUCCGAGACCAGGACGUCGAUAGGUCAGGUGUGUAAGCGCUGUAAGGCGUUGAGCUAACUGAUACUAAUUGCUCGUGAGGCUUGAUCCU